rnacentral:rRNA from 1 species
GACAGAGGAUGCAAGCGUUAUCCGGAAUGAUUGGGCGUAAAGCGUCUGUAGGUGGCUUUUCAAGUCCUCCGUCAAAUCCCAGGGCUCAACCCUGGACAGGCGGUGGAAACUACCAAGCUUGAGUGCGGUAGGGGCAGAGGGAAUUUCCGGAGUAGGGGUGAAAUGCGUAGAGAUUGGGAAGAACACCAACGGCGAAAGCACUCUGCUGGGCCGACACUGACACUGAGAGACGAAAGCUAGGGGAGCAAAUGGG